GACAGAGGGUGCAAACGUUGUUCGGAAUUACUGGGCGUAAAGUGCGUGUAGGCUGUUCGGAAAGUCGGAUGUGAAAGCCCUGGGCUUAACCCAGGAAGUGCAUUCGAAACUCCCGAACUCGAGUCCUGGAGAGGAAGGCGGAAUUCUCGGUGUAGAGGUGAAAUUCGUAGAUAUCGAGAGGAACAUCGGUGGCGAAGGCGGCCUUCUGGACAGUGACUGACGCUGAGACGCGAAAGCGUGGGGAGCAAACAGG
rnacentral:rRNA from 1 species